CAGCAGCCGCGGGAAUACGUAGGGUGCAAGCGUUAAUCGGAAUUACUGGGCGUAAAGCGUGCGCAGGCGGUUUUGUAAGACAGGCGUGAAAUCCCCGGGCUCAACCUGGGAAUGGCGCUUGUGACUGCAAAGCUAGAGUGCGGCAGAGGGGGAUGGAAUUCCGCGUGUAGCAGUGAAAUGCGUAGAUAUGCGGAGGAACACCGAUGGCGAAGGCAAUCCCCUGGGCCUGCACUGACGCUCAUGCACGAAAUCGUGGGGAGCAAACAGGAUUAGAUACCCCCGUAGUCCCUGUCUCUUAUAC
rnacentral:rRNA from 1 species